UGGGGAAUUUUGGACAAUGGGCGCAAGCCUGAUCCAGCCAUGCCGCGUGCGGGAAGAAGGCCUUCGGGUUGUAAACCGCUUUUGUCAGGGAAGAAAAGGUUCUGGUUAAUACCUGGGACUCAUGACGGUACCUGAAGAAUAAGCACCGGCUAACUACGUGCCAGCAGCCGCGGUAAUACGUAGGGUGCAAGCGUUAAUCGGAAUUACUGGGCGUAAAGCGUGCGCAGGCGGUUAUGCAAGACAGAGGUGAAAUCCCCGGGCUCAACCUGGGAACUGCCUUUGGGACUGCAUAGCUAGAGUACGGUAGAGGGGGAUGGAAUUCCGCGUGUAGCAGUGAAAUGCGUAGAUAUGCGGAGGAACACCGAUGGCGAAGGCAAUCCCCUGGACCUGUACUGACGCUCAUGCACGAAAGCGUGGGGAGCAAACAGG
rnacentral:rRNA from 1 species